AGACAGGUGCUGCAUGGCUGUCGUCAGCUCGUGUUGUGAAAUGUUGGGUUAAGUCCCGCAACGAGCGCAACCCUUAUCCUUUGUUGCCAGCGGUUAGGCCGGGAACUCAAAGGAGACUGCCAGUGAUAAACUGGAGGAAGGUGGGGAUGACGUCAAGUCAUCAUGGCCCUUACGAGUAGGGCUACACACGUGCUACAAUGGCGCAUACAAAGAGAAGCGACCUCGCGAGAGCAAGCGGACCUCAUAAAGUGCGUCGUAGUCCGGAUUGGAGUCUGCAACUCGACUCCAUGAAGUCGGAAUCGCUAGUAAUCGUGGAUCAGAAUGCCACGGUGAAUACGUUCCCGGGCCUUGUACACACCGCCCGUCACACCAUGGGAGUGGGUUGCAAAAGAAGUAGGUAGCUUAACCUUCGGGAGGGCGCUUACCACUUUGUGAUUCAUGACUGGGGUGAAGUCGUAACAAGGUAACCGUAGGGGAACCUGCGGUUGGAUCACCUCCUU
rnacentral:rRNA from 4 species